GUGGUACUCCCUCCGUCCGAAAAUACUUGUCAUCAAAAUGGAUAAAAAAAUAUAUAUCUAGAACUAAAAUACGUCUAGAUACAUCCCCUUUUAUCUAUUUUGAUGGCAAGUAUUUCCAGACGGAGAGAGUAUAAU
rfam:Triticum aestivum genome assembly, contig: Triticum_aestivum_CS42_TGACv1_scaffold_132131_2BL